UUUUUUAUUUAGUACCUUUAUAACUUCAAAUUAUUUUCGAUACUUUUUUUAAUUAAUUAAAUUAAAGAUUAUAUUAAAGUUAAUAGCUCUGUCAAUUAAUAAUUAUUUAUUAUCACAAUUAUAUUUAGUAAAAAUUAAGAAAUUAAAUCAUUCACUGAAUUACUAUUACAUUUAGUAAAUUUCAAAGUUAUUUGAGUGAAAUAAUAUAAAUAAAAUAAUUCGAAGUUAAGUAAGUAUAAAUAAAAAAGGGGUAAUGCUUUUUUACACUAAUUAUUUAGUCAAUAUAUGUUUUCAUCAAAAAUUUGACUAGAUAAAUUUUGUUUAUUUGCUAAAAUUUUAAUUUAUAUGUAUUUUUGGCCCCCUUUAUAAUCGAGUACUAGCUUCGUCCCUGAUUUGAGAAGACUUUGAACGUUUCCAAAAGAGUGGAGAAUUACUUUUUCAAGAAAGAGGGAAGAGCUGUAAUUUAUUAAGAAGUUGACAUAUAUGCUAUUUAGAAUUGUCAAAUUAUAAUAUGUAUAGAUACUUGUGCGUGUGUAUAUAUGGAGUGCGUCUGGGGUGCUUUCGGAAGCACGGAGCGCUCCGUGCUUCCACUUUGUUUUCAAUGUUGGGACUUUCAAAUCGACGAUCGGCUCCGUUAGACUUGAUCUAGAGUAUUUGAAGUAUGUAGAAAAUAAAUUUUGCGAUUUUUCGAUAUCAUUUGCCUAGUGAUCGAAGUGGCUCAAAAUCAACGGCUGAAAAUAAAAAUCUCACAAAAUAUGAUGAUAUGACAUUAAAAUUUUAGAUCAAAGUUAUUGAUCUUGUUUUAUAUGGUAUAAAGAAUUUUCUAUCAAAAUUUCACGUGAUUUGGAUAUUUCUACACCGUUAAACUUGCAACCGGCUCACCACGGCCGUUAAAAUUAUUGAUUUUGAGCCCCUUCGAUCACUAGGCAAAUGAUAUCGAAAAAUCGCAAAAUUUAAUUUCUUGGUACUUUAAAUACUCUAGAUCAACUCUAACGGAGCCGAUCGUCGAUUCGAAAGUCCGAACAUCGAAAACAAAGUGAAAGCACGGAGACCUCCGUGCUUACGAAAGCAUACCAGCCCACUCUAUACAUAUAUAUAUAUAUAUAUAUAUAGAGAGAGAGAGAUUAUGGUAAG
rnacentral:lncRNA from 1 species